GGGUGGCCCAGAUGUUCAACACGGGACACUUACUUUUAUGUGUAAACAGGUCUCAAACAAAGCUCGGACUAAUGCUUCAUAUUCUUCUUGGACUUCUUUUCUAAUCUGCUUCUUGAGAUUCAGAUUCACCUCUUCCAAGUCUAAAAGAAAAAUGGAAACGACCUAAAAUGCCUAACAAUGGAAACGAGUUGAAUCCAUCUGGCUCAUAGACAUGACGAAAUACUGAAUGGCCACCAUAAAUGGACAUAUGUUUAUUGAUGAGGAAAGAUCUUUAUAACAUAUUGUCAAGUGAACAAAAAAG
rnacentral:lncRNA from 1 species